GGGCCCGCACAAGCGGUGGAGCAUGUGGUUUAAUUCGAUGAUACGCGAGGAACCUUACCAGGGUUUAAAUGCAGAACGACAGGGGUGGAAACACCCCCUUCUUCGGACGGACUGCAAGGUGCUGCAUGGUUGUCGUCAGCUCGUGCUGUGAAGUGUCGGGUUAAGUCCCAUAACGAGCGCAACCCCCAUUUCUAGUUGCCAGCGGUUCGGCCGGGGACUCUAGAGAGACUGCCGGUGAUAAACCGGAGAAGGUGGGACGACGUCAAGUCAUCAUGGCCCCUUACGAGUAGGGCUACACACGUGCUACAAUGGCGCAUACAGAGGGCAGCCAACUUGCGAGAGUGAGCGAAUCCCAAAAAGUGCGUCGU
rnacentral:rRNA from 1 species